AUACUACUCCCUCCGUCCGUAAAUACUUGUCAUUGAAAUGAAUGUAUCUAGAUGUAUUUUAGUUUUAGAUACAUCCAUUUUGAUGACAAAUAAUUCCGGACGGAGGGAGUAUAAU
rnacentral:pre_miRNA from 1 species